rnacentral:rRNA from 1 species
GAUUAUGGCUCAGAGUGAACGCUGGCGACGCGGCUAAGACAUGCAAGUCGAGCGAGAAGGUGCCGUUCGGGUACCGGAAAGCGGCAAACGGGUGCGUAACACGUAAGUAACCUGCCCUUAAGACGGGAAUAGCUUGAUGAAAAUUGAGAUAAUGCCCGAUAUCAAAUUCUCCGCAUGGGAGAAGUUUGAAAGGUUUGUGAUGACGCUUAAGGAGGGGCUUGCGGCCUAUCAGCUUGUUGGCGGUGUGAAGGACCACCAAGGCUAAGACGGGUAGCCGGUCUGAGAGGAUGGACGGCCACAUUGGAACUGAGAUACGGUCCAAACACCUACGGGUGGCAGCAGUUUCGAAUCAUUCACAAUGGGCGAAAGCCUGAUGGUGCGACGUCGCGUGGAAGGAUGAAGGUCUUCGGAUUGUAAACUCCUGUCAUUGGUGAGCAAAAGGUCGGUGAAGAAUCGAUUUUGAGUUAAGCCGAAGAGGAAGCAGUGGCAAACUCCGUGCCAGCCGCGGC